rnacentral:lncRNA from 10 species
UGCUGCACUGUUUAUCAGAGGUUUCGGGACAUUAGGCCAAGGAAGAACUCUCCUUUAGAAGUGGCUCCAGACUCAGAGAAUGUACCUUGUUGGAUCUUCACACCAACACCUACAUUUUAACGGUGUUGUUGGCAAGCGGUUUCACAGAACAGACAACAGAGACAACUUUUUGCAAGCUGGCCGUGACUUCCUUCCUUUAUUCUCUCUCUUUAUUGCUGACAUUGCUCUACCUCCAGCGCAACCCUACCCCAUCUGUGAGAAAGUGGGGUUGCUCCUCCCCUCUGUCAAAUUCCACUUGCCACUUAAUGCUCCAGUUUAACUCUGCAGAAAUUAUUUCGGCCUGGCACUCCCUGGGCAUUGCUUUUGUGUGCAGGUGCCACUCUGGGUGGAGUCAGGGCAUGUGUUUAGAACUUGGCAGUGCUACCUCAACAACAUAACAGGAAACAACAGGCAGCGGCUGCACGGAAUGGUUCAAGUUUGGUGGCCAGCAAGGGGCAGUCAUCUGUGACAUGUAACAAGUCAUGCUGUGUGGUUCACGGAGGCUGAUGUUUCAGCAGAUUUUUAUAUCCCAGAUACAGGCUAACCGGAGGAAACAGGAUAGGAACUUCCUAGAGACAGGUAAAUUGAUGCCAAGCUUCUACCUGGAUACCUGCAUACCUGCCCAUCCCAGCAUCAAACUCACCCACUCCUCCCUCUCCUUCCAGUGAGGAAUUUAUUUAACACUUAUCUCUACACAUUUAAAGCUAAUUUUAAAAAAACUGUUCAUACAAUUGAUUAAAAUAUACAUGUGGAAGACAUUUUUAUUUUCACUCCCCCAGCUAGUAUAUACCCCAUAUUGCUGAAGUAGAGAGCAGGUAUCAUGUCAUCCCAGGGAAGGCAUCAGACCUCUUCACAGCUUCAAGAUGACCUAAACCACUGCAGUAACUCCUUCCUACUUUCCCAUCAAUUGGCCUAGAAGUGGGCACGCAACCAAACUCUGUCCACUGAGACACGGGGAGAAGCCUGCUGGGAAGCUUCCUCAUGAUAAGGAAACAAUAGUGCCUCAGAAAGAAAGUCUUUUUGUUUUCCUGCCUUUCUGCUUGGGAUGCAGGACUCGAUGCUUGAAGCUGUGACAACCAUUGAUCCCCAUGAAGUAAAGGCCAAAAAAUAAUCUUAGAGAUGAUGAAUUCCCCUCCUACCUCCCUGAACUGUGAAACCAACUUCUUGUUAUGGUAUAUAUUUAACUACCUUUAUUAUUUAACCCACUAUUACUUGGGUAUUUUGUUACUGGCAGCUGCAUGCAUUCUAAAUGAUACACUACCUCUUUGUUUUCUAAAGAGACUAUUAAACAAAAUGUAACCCUCUCUAUGCCUGCCUUAAAAACUGUAUGUAUAAACAUGGUGGCAACAUCAGUCUUCUUACUGAACAAUUUUAAUGAAGUCAAGUGUUAAGAAGUCCCCAAAUGGUAGUUACAAUCUUUGGAUGUUCAGUUCUCCCAUUAAGUUGAUUGAGCAAGGCCUUUACCUCCCCUCAGCAGUCUAUUAAGUGCAUUGCUGGGUUCUCAUCACCCAAAAAUUGCAGUAUGUGAUGGUUCUCACUACCCAAAUAUUGCAGUACUUGUCUAUCUCAGUCCCUUUUCCCCAUCUUGGCCACAUAGCAAGAUGUCUUGACCACAGCUUGCUAUGUAGAAAUAUACAGAAGGCAAGAAAAAAAAAAUCCUAGAAUUCCCAGCUGUGUAGUAUGAGAAACCCCCAGCAUGGAGCUGAUUUCAAGAGGGUGUAAGAGGAAUAGAAUCAGGAACCACAACGCCUAUGGACAUUGGUAAUUAAAUACGGCAGCUUGAUGACAUAGAUUCCAGUUUAGACUUGACCUAACAGGUGAUGUUUUUACUGUGGCCUUGUAUCUGAUAAGGAAAUUAGAAAUCUCAACAUAAAGUUGUCAAGGGACAAAUUAAAAAUAUUACAUUGGGUCAUUGGUUAGUCUUCAGUAGACCUAAGGCCUAAACAUUUUACAGCUUCCCUAGCUACAAAAGGCAAAUGUACAGAAAGUGUGACAUGCCUGAUGAUACCUAAGACUGAAAGAGCUAAAAUUCUUAAAUUAACGUCAGCUCACCAGCAAGGAAGUCUUAUGAGAGUACAGGUAAAAAUCAGAUGUUCCAUACAAAGGAAAUUUCUGGAAACAUGGCCAUAGGCUCCGCAGUGCAAGUGCAGGUCAACCACCAAGAAACUGGUAGUCUAUGUGUCAAAAGUUCUCAUGAAGUGGAAUUCAUUCCUCUGAUGGUUUUACUAGCCCCAGGGGCUGAGCCCUCAAUCUUAGAGGUUCUGAAAGCUGACUUUUCCAGCACACCAAGAUCUACUCCUUUUCUUAGUUGUGGAAUCACAUUACCCGACCUCAUGAGACUUGUUAUAAAACUUCAAUAUCAAUUUUAUUAACAUAAAAUGAUAAAUGACUGGCAUAGAAACUUUUGGAAGUUCUCCCAAUGAGUUGACUCUCUUCCCAGACCCUGACUUAUAAGGAGGCCCAAACCUAUUUUACCUGAAAGCUUAGUGGAAUUACAAGGCAUUGGACUUGUAGGAGCAUCGCACAAGAUAACCUAAUGCAGCAAACACACUCUGAAGAUGGCUUCACCAAGGGACCAAAGCCAACUGACCUUACUGCCUUCAACCAGCUCCAGGAGGGAUGCCCUUGCCAAUGGGUCCAGAAUCCUCCAAGUUGGCUGGCAAUGCCCCUUUCUCCUGGACAGAGUCUGGGUGGAUAUUGCCAAAAAUUGCCUCCAAGAUUCUCCUUUCACUUUGCUUUCAUGAACAGAUUAAAAUUCCUUUGACC